UAUUGAUGAUGAUGGUGACGAUGAUGAUGAUGAAGGCGAUGAUCAUAAUGACCAUGAUCAUCAUCAUCAUCAUCAUCAUGGUCAUCAUCAUCA
rnacentral:pre_miRNA from 1 species